rnacentral:rRNA from 1 species
UUCGACACACUAUCAUUAACUGAAUCCAUAGGUUAAUGAGGCGAACCGGGGGAACUGAAACAUCUAAGUACCCCGAGGAAAAGAAAUCAACCGAGAUUCCCCCAGUAGCGGCGAGCGAACGGGGAGCAGCCCAGAGCCUGAAUCAGUGUGUGUGUUAGUGGAAGCGUCUGGAAAGGCGCGCGAUACAGGGUGACAGCCCCGUACACAAAAAUGCACAUACUGUGAGCUCGAUGAGUAGGGCGGGACACGUGGUAUCCUGUCUGAAUAUGGGGGGACCAUCCUCCAAGGCUAAAUACUCCUGACUGACCGAUAGUGAACCAGUACCGUGAGGGAAAGGCGAAAAGAACCCCGGCGAGGGGAGUGAAAAAGAACCUGAAACCGUGUACGUACAAGCAGUGGGAGCCUCUUUAUGGGGUGACUGCGUACCUUUUGUAUAAUGGGUCAGCGACUUAUAUUCUGUAGCAAGGUUAACCGAAUAGGGGAGCCGAAGGGAAACCGAGUCUUAACUGGGCGUUAAGUUGCAGGGUAUAGACCCGAAACCCGGUGAUCUAGCCAUGGGCAGGUUGAAGGUUGGGUAACACUAACUGGAGGACCGAACCGACUAAUGUUGAAAAAUUAGCGGAUGACUUGUGGCUGGGGGUGAAAGGCCAAUCAAACCGGGAGAUAGCUGGUUCUCCCCGAAAGCUAUUUAGGUAGCGCCUCGUGAAUUCAUCUCCGGGGGUAGAGCACUGUUUCGGCAAGGGGGUCAUCCCGACUUACCAACCCGAUGCAAACUGCGAAUACCGGAGAAUGUUAUCACGGGAGACACACGGCGGGUGCUAACGUCCGUCGUGAAGAGGGAAACAACCCAGACCGCCAGCUAAGGUCCCAAAGUCAUGGUUAAGUGGGAAACGAUGUGGGAAGGCCCAGACAGCCAGGAUGUUGGCUUAGAAGCAGCCAUCAUUUAAAGAAAGCGUAAUAGCUCACUGGUCGAGUCGGCCUGCGCGGAAGAUGUAACGGGGCUAAACCAUGCACCGAAGCUGCGGCAGCGACGCUUAUGCGUUGUUGGGUAGGGGAGCGUUCUGUAAGCCUGCGAAGGUGU